AUGGACUGGGUCCGUAACUUGAGGAUUAUCCUCAUUGUUGCACAGAAGAAUUACAUCCUGGAAGCAACGUUAGGUGUACCACCCGCGCCAGCAACUGCAGACAUUGUGAAUGCUUGGCAGACGCGUGUUGAUGACUACUCGAUAGUUCAGUGUGCCAUGCUUUACGGCUUAGAAUCGGGACUUCAAAGAUGUUUUGAACGACACGAAGCAUAUGAGAUGUUCCAAGAGUUGAAGUUAAUAUUUCAAGCAAAUGCCCGAGUUGAGAGAUAUGAAGUCUCCAACAAGUUCUAUAGCUGCAAAAUGGAGGAGAAUAGUUCUGUCAGUGAACACAUACUCAAAAUGUCUAGGUACCACAACCACUUGACUCAAUUGGAAGUUGAUCUUCCUGUUGAUAGUGUCAUUGACAGAGUUCUUCAAUCACUACCACGAAGCUAUAAAGGCUUUGUGAUGAACUAUAAUAUGCAAGGGAUGAACAAGACUAUUCCUGAGCUCUUCGCGAUGCUAAAGGCUGCAGAAGUAGAAAUCAAGAAGGAGCAUCAAGUUUUGAUGGUCAACAAGACCACUAGUUUCAAGAAAAAGGGAAAAGGGAAGAAGGGGAACUUCAAGAAGAAUGGCAAAAAGGUUGCUGCUCAAGAGAAGAAAUCUAAGUCUGGACCUAAGCCUGGAACUAAGUGCUUCUACUACAAAGAGACUGGUCACUGGAAGCUGAACUGCCUCAAGUAUUUGGCGGAUAAGAAGGAUGGCAAAGUGAAAGGGGCUACGGAUUAA
rnacentral:rRNA from 1 species